GGGGGCGUGGUGGAAUGGUAGACACAACGGACUUAAAUUUUGAGCAAAAAUUUGUAAGUUCUCAAAUUCAGAAAAACUUUUUUCUAAAUUAUUGAAAAAAGCAAUCCUGAGCCAAAUCUGCUUCAAAAAAUAAAAUUUAUGAAGUUGAAAGGUGCAGAGACUCGACGGGAACUACCUUCUAAGGUAAAGAGAGAGUCCAUAUUUCUUGAAGAAAGGUAAAAAACAAAAAUUUUGUCUAAAAACAAGAGAUAGAAAAUCCGUUGACUAUUUACAGUCGUGAGGGUUCAAGUCCCUCCGCCCCCA
rnacentral:tRNA from 1 species